rnacentral:misc_RNA from 1 species
GAUGAAGAACGCAGCGAAAUGCGAUACGUAAUGUGAAUUGCAGAAUUCAGUGAAUCAUCGAAUCUUUGAACGCAUAUUGCGCUCUUUGGUAUUCCGAAGAGCAUGCUUGUUUGAGUAUCAGUAAACACCUCAAAAGAUUUUCAUUUUUGAAAUGAUUUUGGACUUGAGUAAUCCCAACACCAGUCUUCACGGAUCGGCGGAGGGUUGCUUGAAAUGCAGGUGCAGCUGGACAUUCUCCUGAGCUAAAAGCAUAUCUAUUUAGUCCCGUCAAACGGAUUAUUACUUUUGCUGCAGCUAACAUAAAGGGAGUUUGACCAUUUUGGCUGACUGAUGCAGGAUUUCACAAGGGUCGGUAAAACGAUUUUUGUAAAACUCGAUCUCAAAUCAAGUAAGACUACCCGCUGAACUUAAGCAUAUCAAUAAGCGGAGGA